rnacentral:rRNA from 1 species
GAUGAACGCUGGCGGCGUGCCUAAUACAUGCAAGUCGAGCGAACUGACGAGGAGCUUGCUCCUUCGACGUUAGCGGCGGACGGGUGAGUAACACGUAGGUAACCUACCUAUAAGACUGGGAUAACUUCGGGAAACCGGAGCUAAUACCGUAUAAUAUUUCGAACCGCAUGGUUCGAUAGUGAAAGAUGGCUUUGCUAUCACUUAUAGAUGGACCUGCGCCGUAUUAGCUAGUUGGUAAGGUAACGGCUUACCAAGGCAAUGAUACGUAGCCGACCUGAGAGGGGGAUAGGCCACACGGGAAGGGGGACAGGGUCAAGACGCCUAAGGGAGGGAGCAGUAGGGAAUCUGACGCAAUGGGCGAAAGCCUGACGGAGCAACGCCGAGUGAGUGAUGAAGGUGUUGGGAGCGUAAAACUCGGUUAUUAGGGAAGAACAAACGUGUAAGGAACUGUGCACGGCGUGACGGUACCUAAUCAGAAAGCCACGGCUAACUACGUG